GUCCGGGUAGUCUAGUCGGUACAAGAUUCUGGCCUUUCAAGUCAGAGAGGUGGGUUCAAUCCCCACUCCGGAUGCUA
rnacentral:tRNA from 1 species